rnacentral:rRNA from 1 species
GACGAACGCUGGCGGCGUGCUUAACACAUGCAAGUCGAACGGAAAGGCCCUGCUUGCAGGGUGCUCGAGUGGCGAACGGGUGAGUGACACGUGGGUGAUCUGCCCCUUACUUUGGGAUAAGCCUGGGAAACUGGGUCUAAUACUGGAUAGGACCAUGCUGUAGGUGGUGUGGUGGAAAGAUUAGUUUCGGUAAGGGAUGAGCUCGCGGCCUAUCAGCUUGUUGGUGGGGUAAUGGCCUACCAAGGCGUCGACGGGUAGCCGGCCUGAGAGGGUGGACGGCCACAUUGGGACUGAGAUACGGCCCAGACUCCUACGGGAGGCAGCAGUGGGGAAUAUUGCACAAUGGGCGCAAGCCUGAUGCAGCGACGCCGCGUGGGGGAUGACGGCCUUCGGGUUGUAAACUCCUUUCAGCCAUGACGAAGCCCUUGUGGUGACGGUAGUGGUAGAAGAAGCACCGGCUAACUACGU